rnacentral:rRNA from 1 species
AGAACGAACGCUGGCGGCAUGCCUAAUACAUGCAAGUCGAACGAACACUUCGGUGUUAGUGGCGCACGGGUGCGUAACGCGUGGGAAUCUGCCCUUGGGUUCGGAAUAACAGUUGGAAACGACUGCUAAUACCGGAUGACAUCGAAAGAUCAAAGAUUUAUCGCCCAGGGAUGAGCCCGCGUAGGAUUAGCUAGUUGGUGAGGUAAAGGCUCACCAAGGCGACGAUCCUUAGCUGGUCUGAGAGGAUGAUCAGCCACACGUGGGACUGAGACACGGCCCAGACUCCGUACGGGAGGCGGCAGUAGGGAAUAGUUGGACAAGUGGGG